rnacentral:rRNA from 1 species
CCUACGGGCGGCAGCAGUGGGGAAUAUUGCACAAUGGGGGAAACCCUGAUGCAGCAACGCCGCGUGAGUGAAGAAGGUUUUCGGAUUGUAAAGCUCUGUUAGCAGGGAAGAAAAUGACGGUACCUGACUAAGAAGCCCCGGCUAACUACGUGCCAGCAGCCGCGGUAAUACGUAGGGGGCAAGCGUUAUCCGGAUUUACUGGGUGUAAAGGGAGCGUAGACGGUGAUGCAAGUCAGAAGUGAAAGCCCGGGGCUCAACUCCGGGACUGCUUUUGAAACUGUGUGACUGGAGUGCAGGAGAGGUAAGCGGAAUUCCUGGUGUAGCGGUGAAAUGCGUAGAUAUCAGGAGGAACACCAGUGGCGAAGGCGGCUUACUGGACUGUAACUGACGUUGAGGCUCGAAAGCGUGGGGAGCAAACAGGAUUAGAUACCCGAGUAGUC